AGCAGCCGCGGUAAUUCCAGCUCCAAUAGCGUAUAUUAAAGUUGUUGCAGUUAAAAAGCUCGUAGUUGAAUUUUAGGCCUGGCCGGACGGUCCGUCUUUGGCGAGAACUGUUCUGUUGUCGGGUCAUCCUUCUGGUGAACCAGUAUGCCCUUAAUUGGGUGUGUUGGGGAGCCAGGACCAUUACCUUGAAAAAAUUAGAGUGUUUAAAGCGGGCUAUUGCUUGAAUAGAUUAGCAUGGAAUAAUAGAAUAGGACGUUGUGGUUCUAUUUUGUUGGUUUCUAGGACCACCGUAAUGAUUAAUAGGGAUAGUUGGG
rnacentral:rRNA from 1 species